rnacentral:sRNA from 1 species
UACAAUUACCUAUUUACCGAUGCCUCCUA